rnacentral:rRNA from 1 species
GACCUCAAAUCAGGUAGGACUACCCGCUGAACUUAAGCAUAUCAAUAAGCGGAGGAAAAGAAACUAACAAGGAUUCCCCUAGUAACUGCGAGUGAAGCGGGAAAAGCUCAAAUUUAAAAUCUGACGGUCUUUUGGUCGUCCGAGUUGUAAUCUAGAGAAGUGUUAUCCGCGUUGGACCGUGCACAAGUCUCCUGGAAUGGAGCGUCAUAGAGGGUGAGAAUCCCGUCUUUGACACGGACUACCAGUGCUUUGUGAUGCGCUCUCAAAGAGUCGAGUUGUUUGGGAAUGCAGCUCAAAAUGGGUGGUAAAUUCCAUCUAAAGCUAAAUAUUGGCGAGAGACCGAUAGCGAACAAGUACCGUGAGGGAAAGAUGAAAAGAACUUUGGAAAGAGAGUUAAACAGUACGUGAAAUUGCUGAAAGGGAAACGC